rnacentral:tRNA from 1 species
GCCUUCGUGGUGUAGUGGUCAGCACGCUCGACGCGUUAUCGAGAGGUCCGUGGUUCGAUUCCCGGUGAAGGAG